rnacentral:ribozyme from 13 species
CCUUUCUUUUUGUUCUUCCCUUCUUCUUUCUGUAAACCGGCGAUUCAUGUACACCAAAUCAGGUCCGAGACAGACGAUACAAAAGUCGACCCAAUUUUAUGUGUUUAUAGUACAAGGAAAAAGAGAGAUUGGAAGAAAGCAGGAAGAUAUGCAACACGUUCCUUUCAUUCCACGUCGACC